GAUGAACGCUGGCGGCGUGCCUAAUACAUGCAAGUCGAGCGAACAGACGAGGAGCUUGCUCCUCUGACGUUAGCGGCGGACGGGUGAGUAACACGUGGAUAACCUACCUAUAAGACUGGGAUAACUUCGGGAAACCGGAGCUAAUACCGGAUAAUAUAUUGAACCGCAUGGUUCAAUAGUGAAGGACGGUUUUGCUGUCACUUAUAGAUGGAUCCGCGCCGCAUUAGCUAGUUGGUAAGGUAACGGCUUACCAAGGCAACGAUGCGUAGCCGACCUGAGAGGGUGAUCGGCCACACUGGAACUGAGACACGGUCCAGGCUCCUACGGGAGGCAGCAGUAGGGAAUCUUCCGCAAUGGGCGAAAGCCUGACGGAGCAACGCCGCGUGAGUGAUGAAGGUCUUCGGAUCGUAAAACUCUGUUAUUAGGGAAGAACAAAUGUGUAAGUAACUAUGCACGUCUUGACGGUACCUAAUCAGAAAGCCACGGCUAACUACGUG
rnacentral:rRNA from 1 species